GCACUUCGGUGCGCCUUUCUUCCCCGCCCUGUCUGAUACUACCCAUGUCUUUUGCGUACCAAUUGUUUCCUCGGUGGGCUUGCCCGCCGGUUGGACACUAUAAAACCUUUUGUAAUUGCAGUCAGCGUCAGAAAAACAUAAUAAUUACAACUUUCAACAACGGAUCUCUUGGUUCUGGCAUCGAUGAAGAACGCAGCGAAAUGCGAUAAGUAGUGUGAAUUGCAGAAUUCAGUGAAUCAUCGAAUCUUUGAACGCACAUUGCGCCCCUUGGUAUUCCAUGGGGCAUGCCUGUUCGAGCGUCAUUUGUACCCUCAAGCUCUGCUUGGUGUUGGGUGUUUGUCCCGCUUUGCGCGUGGACUCGCCUUAAAGCAAUUGGCAGCCGGCAAUCUGGUUAUAGAGCGCAGCACAUUUUGCGCUUCUUGCCAUGGAUUUCGGCAUCCAUCAAGUACAUUUUUUUUGCUCUUGACCUCGGAUCAGGUAGGGAUACCCGCUGAACUUAAGCAUAUCAAUAAGCCGGAGGA
rnacentral:rRNA from 1 species